rnacentral:tRNA from 1 species
GCGGAUAUCGUAUAAGGGUAAUGCCUUAGCCUUCCAAGCUAAAGAUGCGGGUUCGAGUCCCGCUAUCCGCU